GCACGAGCUUAGCCUCUCCUUCCUCCUAGGAUCUCUCGAAUACCGGGGAGAACCCCGAUACAUUUGAUCCCCUACGACAGCGGUUUACAACCCGAAGGCCUUCAUCCCACACGCGGCGUCGCUCGGUCAGACUUUCGUCCAUUGCCGAAGAUUCUCGACUGCAGCCACCCGUAGGUGUCUGGCCAGUGUCUCAGUGCCAGUGAGGCUGGUCGUGCUCUCACACCAGCUACCCAUCAAUGCCUUGGUGGUCUAUUACACCGCCAACAAGCUAAUAGGAGGUGGGCUCAUCCCCGGACGGAAUCACACCUUUGGUCCAAAGACGUUAUCGGGUAUUACCUACAGUUUCCCGUAGCUAUCCCCGAUCCAGGGGCAGAUUCCCACCUAUUCCUCUCCCUUUCGCCGCUUUCCUGUAUUGCUACAUUCUCGCGCGACUCGCAUGCCUAAUCCACGCCGCCAACGUUCAUU
rnacentral:rRNA from 1 species